rnacentral:rRNA from 1 species
UACGUAGGGGGCAAGCGUUGUCCGGAAUCAUUGGGCGUAAAGCGCGUGUAGGCGGUUCGAUAAGUCUGCUGUGAAAGUCCAGGGCUCAACCCUGGAAAGCCGGUGGAUACUGUCGGGCUAGAGUCCGGAAGAGGCGAGUGGAAUUCCUGGUGUAGCGGUGAAAUGCGCAGAUAUCAGGAGGAACACCAAUGGCGAAGGCAGCUCGCUGGGACGUAACUGACGCUGAGACGCGAAAGCGUGGGGAGCAAACAGG